rnacentral:rRNA from 1 species
UACGUAGGGCGCAAGCGUUGUCCGGAAUUAUUGGGCGUAAAGAGCUCGUAGGCGGCUUGUCACGUCGGGUGUGAAAGGCCCCGGGGCUUAACCCCGGGUCUGCAUUCGAUACGGGCUAGCUAGAGUGUGGUAGGGGAGAUCGGAAUUCCUGGUGUAGCGGUGAAAUGCGCAGAUAUCAGGAGGAACACCGGUGGCGAAGGCGGAUCUCUGGGCCAUUACUGACGCUGAGGAGCGAAAGCGUGGGGAGCGAACAGG